rnacentral:lncRNA from 1 species
AAGAAGUAGAAAAAAAUCUCGGAUUUAGAUUUAUUCAAUCAAUAAUAAGUAGAAUAAAAAAAAAUUUAUUCCUUGUUUAUUACGUGUUAGUAAAGUUCCAACGAAAGCCGCCCGAUUGAAGGAAAUGCCAGAAUUUUACAUUUCUAGGAUCAACCAACUGGGGUUAUGUCGUUAUAAAAUAUUAGAUUCUAUAGAAGCAAUCAAUGAUAAAUAGAUAUGAAUAGGGCGCAAAAAAAGGGG